UACGGAGGGUGCUAGCGUUGUUCGGAAUCACUGGGCGUAAAGGGCGUGUAGGCGGUCUGUUAAGUCUGAUGUGAAAUCCCCUCGCUCAACGAGGGAACUGCGUCGGAUACUGGCAGACUCGAGUACCGGAGAGGAAGGUGGAGUUCCCGGUGUAGCGGUGAAAUGCGUAGAUAUCUGGAGGAACACCGGUGGCGAAGGCGGCAUCCUGGACCAAUAUUGACGCUGAGGAGCGAAAGCCAGGGGAGCAAACGGG
rnacentral:rRNA from 1 species